rnacentral:rRNA from 1 species
GACGAACGCUGGCGGCGUGCCUAAUACAUGCAAGUAGGACGCAGUUGCGAACGGGUGAGUAACGCGUAGGUAACUACCUAUUAGAGGGGGAUAACUAUUGGAAACGAUAGCUAAUACCGCAUACUAGUAGAUGGACCUGCGUUGUAUUAGCUAGUAGUGAGGGUAAUGGCCUACCUAGGCAACGAUACAUAGCCGACUGGAUAGGGGGAGCGGCCCAACUGGGACUGCGACACGGCCCAGAUCACUACGGGAGGCAGGAGUAGGGAAGCCGCGGCAAUGGGGGGAACCCUGAACGAGCAACGCAGCGUGAGUGAAGAAGGUUUUCGGAUCGUAAAGCUCUGUUGUUAAGGAAGCGGUACUUAACCAGAAAGGGACGGCUAACUACGUGCCAGCAGCAGCGGUAAUAC